UGGGGAAUAUUGGACAAUGGGGGCAACCCUGAUCCAGCAAUGCCGCGUGUGUGAAGAAGGCCUGCGGGUUGUAAAGCACUUUUGGCAGGGAUGAAAAGCACUGGAUUAAUAACCCAGUGUGUUGACCUAACCUGCAGAAGAAGCACCGGCUAACUCUGUGCCAGCAGCCGCGGUAAUACAGGGGGGUGCGAGCGUUAAUCGGAAUUACUGGGCGUAAAGGGCGCGUAGGCGGUCGAGUAAGUCGGAUGUGAAAUCCCCGGGCUUAACCUGGGAAUUGCAUUCGAUACUGCUUGGCUAGAGUGUGGAAGAGGGAAGCGGAAUUUCCGGUGUAGCGGUGAAAUGCGUAGAUAUCGGAAGGACACCAGUGGCGAAGGCGGCUUCCUGGUCCAACACUGACGCUGAGGCGCGAAAGCGUGGGGAGCAAACAGGAUUAGAUACCCCAGUAGUCCCUGAGCGGGCUGGCAAGGCGCAU
rnacentral:rRNA from 1 species